AGUGAACGCUGGCGGUAGGCCUAACACAUGCAAGUCGAACGGCAGCACAGGAGAGCUUGCUCGCUGGGUGGCGAGUGGCGGACGGGUGAGGAAUACAUCGGAAUCUGCCCAGUCGUGGAGGAUAACGUAGGGAAACUUACGCUAAUACCGCAUACGACCUUCGGGAGAAAGAGGGGGAUCGCAAGACCUCUCGCGAGUGGAUGAGCCGAUGUCGGAUUAGCUAGUUGGCGGGGUAAAGGCCCACCAAGGCGACGAUCCGUAGCUGGUCUGAGAGGAUGAUCAGCCACACUGGAACUGAGACACGGUCCAGACUCCUACGGGAGGCAGCAGUGGGGAAUAUUGGACAAUGGGCGCAAGCCUGAUCCAGCCAUACCGCGUGGGUGAAGAAGGCCUUCGGGUUGUAAAGCCCUUUUGUUGGGAAAGAAAUCUUUCAGGCUAAUACCCUGGGAGGAUGACGGUACCCAAAGAAUAAGCACCGGCUAACUUCGUG
rnacentral:rRNA from 1 species